rnacentral:rRNA from 1 species
GACGGAACCGCACAAGCGGUGGAGUAUGUUGUUUAAUUCGAAGCAACGCGAAGUAACCUUACCAGGUCUUGACAUCCCGAUGCUAUUUCUAGAGAUAGAAAGUUACUUCGGUACAUCGGUGACAGGUGGUGCAUGGUUGUCGUCAGCUCGUGUCGUGAGAUGUUGGGUUAAGUCCCGCAACGAGCGCAACCCCUAUUGUUAGUUGCCAUCAUUCAGUUGGGCACUCUAGCGAGACUGCCGGUAAUAAACCGGAGGAAGGUGGGGAUGACGUCAAAUCAUCAUGCCCCUUAUGACCUGGGCUACACACGUGCUACAAUGGUUGGUACAACGAGUUGCGAGUCGGUGACGGCGAGCUAAUCUCUUAAAGCCAAUCUCAGUUCGGAUUGUAGGCUGCAACUCGCCUACAUGAAGUCGGAAUCGCUAGUAAUCGCGGAUCAGCACGCCGCGGUGAAUACGUUCCCGGACCUU